UACAGAGGUCUCAAGCGUUGUUCGGAUUCAUUGGGCGUAAAGGGUGCGUAGGUGGCGCCGUAAGUGGGGUGUGAAAUUUCGGAGCUCAACUCCGAAACUGCAUUCCAUACUGCGGUGCUUGAGGACUGGAGAGGAGACUGGAAUUCACGGUGUAGCAGUGAAAUGCGUAGAGAUCGUGAGGAAGACCAGUGGCGAAGGCGGGUCUCUGGACAGUUCCUGACACUGAGGCACGAAGGCUAGGGGAGCAAACGGG
rnacentral:rRNA from 1 species